AUUGAACGCUGGCGGCAUGCUUUACACAUGCAAGUCGAACGGUAACAGGCCGCAAGGUGCUGACGAGUGGCGAACGGGUGAGUAAUGCAUCGGAACGUGCCCAGUCGUGGGGGAUAACGCAGCGAAAGCUGCGCUAAUACCGCAUACGAUCUAUGGAUGAAAGCGGGGGACCGUAAGGCCUCGCGCGAUUGGAGCGGCCGAUGUCAGAUUAGGUAGUUGGUGGGGUAAAGGAUCACAAAGCAAACGAUCUAUCACUGGUCUGAGAGGACGACCAGCCACACUGGGACUGAGACACGGCCCAGACUCCUACGGGAGGCAGCAGUGGGGAAUUUUGGACAAUGGGCGCAAGCCUGAUCCAGCAAUGCCGCGUGCAGGAAGAAGGCCUUCGGGUUGUAAACUGCUUUUGUACGGAACGAAACGGUCCUGGUUAAUACCUGGGGCUAAUGACGGUACCGUAAGAAUAAGCACCGGCUAACUACGUGCCAGCCGCCGCCGUAAAAC
rnacentral:rRNA from 1 species